AGCUGUUCAUGUUUGAAUCUCCUCUUUGAUUCUCCAGUUUGAGCCUUGACAUAUGAAUGCAGCCUGUUUUUAAUCAGGACAUGGACUGAUUGGAUCAAAGUUAUUAGUUUUGCCUGGAGGCAAAAGUUUUUCAGUCAGUAAAGUUCCUUUUGAAGCAUCAGAAUUUGCUUAAGCAGAGGCUAAGGAAAAAUAAUAUGAGUAUUCAAAACUAAACAAGUAUCACUCAGUUCAUCAAUAAACUCUCUAAUGAGGCUGGAGAUAAGGACACAACAUUGAAAAACUGAGAAACAGCUCGUUAGGAUCUUCAUGAAAACAGAUGAGAAAAAAUGAGCUACUGGAUGAAAUGCUCCCUCUGCUGUCCAAGGAGAGUAUCAGUAGUGGAAAUAACUACCCAAAACACCAGAAGAGGCCAAAGAAAGACUUGAUUGCCACUCAGCUCCAGGAUGCCAACUCCUGAAUCUGACAAUAAUACCAUCUAACGAAGGGCUAAAGACCAAGCCAUACAAGCACGCUGUGUACAAAGCUGCCCAUGGCUGAAGAAAGAUCUUUGAUUCACUACAUCUCAUUUGGGAAUUUCCCUCAUCUUCCGUAUCUUUCUAAAAAACUCAUAAUCAAGCUGAAGUAAUCUGUUCUUCUGGAGUAGUUUUUUUGACAGUAUCUCCCAUUAUAACUAUACUUCAUUUGAAACACUACAACAUUAACUGGAAAGAGGAACAGAAUAGGACUCAUCAUGGUGAAUUACCUAGAGUAAAAUCCAGUUGCUCCCUAGCACGUUAAACAUGGGAUUCUUGUAUACAUUACAGAACUGACACAGAUGAAGCAACAGAAACUGAAAGUUCAAAUACUGAAACGUUUCUGGAUGCAUAUUAGAUACCUUUGAGCAGAAAUAUAUGUAUCUGGCAAAUUUCGCUAGCAGAAAUCUCUGUAGCUUCCUCACUUUUAGCAGAACAGCACUUUGAACAUUAGUAGUACCUAACAAAAGUCCUUCUUGUGAAGCAAACCCUGGAUGCUGCAGGUUUAAACCAGUGAGAAGUUUAGCACAUGAAUGAUGCAGAAGUGUUGAUUGGUAUAUGUCAACAGAGUCAUAGACAAAGUGUUGAUGCAAGUGCUUGUCAUCUAGAACGUUGAAUUUCAAUGCAAGUGUGGCAGUGAGACUGAUGGACCCCCAAUACUGACAGGAUAUGGCAACUGGGUAGAUUAUGCUCAUCUCAAACUUACAGAAGCAAUCCCUUCACUAUUUUUCCUAUGCGUAUUAGCCUUAUGUAGAUUUGAAACCAACACAACUUCACAACCUUCUGAUGUUUCUCUUCAGAAAAACAAACAAACGAAGAAAGCAGGGACAGAAGCAACAGCAGUACUGGUACUAAGCAGUGGAGUGUAGUGGUCAGAUCAAAUAUUCUGAAAAUUAUGUAGCAUGUCAUCUUGACAAUAGCCUUGACUUAACCAGAAACUAUUUUUUGUAAUUAGUAUACUCAGACGUUUUCUUUAUAUUCAGAAUCCAACUGUUCUAACGUUCUGAAAAACAGAACAAAAAGAAAAACAAGCCUUUAAACCAGUCUGACAACUGCAAUUAAAUCAAUCAUCCACUCAAAUUCAGGUAUUUGUAACAUCAGGUAAUUUAACAAACAUCUUUCAACCAUAACAGCUCAAGGCACAUUUGUUUUAAAAGCACUUUAAUAGAAAAUUUCAGUAUACCUCCCCCACUAAGAUCGUUCUGUAAAGAAUGCACUUCUAACUAUAGAGGAUCAAAAGGACUGAAUAGUCACUUUAUAAUUUUCAACAUUUUUAUAACUUCUUAGGGAACUAUGCCUAGUUGUGAACAAAUCAAAAAUUGCUUCUGGAGGGAAAAUAUUUAAUGAAAAGAAGAUUAUUAUCGUAUUUUAACAUAAAGAUAAAUUUAAUACAACUAAUGGCUACCAUUCCUAUUAUAUUCUUGUGUGUUACCAUCAGACUUUUAAAUGAGAAGAGGUGCUUGGGUUCCAUCUGUGACAAAGCACAGAAACAGCAAAAGAGCUAGAAUAUUCAAUUGCUUACAGUUUGCAGUUUCAUUAUACCAUGGAGAUCAUGAAGAACUGAAACCCAGACUUAUAAGCCCAAUAGAGGAAAGCGCUCAUGGGAAACUGAUUGAAAGUAUUUUGAGGUAAGAAAGAUUAAGGCUUUUUUAUGCUUUUCCUAGCUUUGUGCCUGGGGACAAUAUACUCUAG
ensembl:lncRNA